UACGUAGGGGGCAAGCGUUGUCCGGAAUCAUUGGGCGUAAAGAGCGUGUAGGCGGCUCGGUAAGUCCGCUCUGAAAGCCCGGGGCUCAACCCCGGGAGGCGGGCGGAUACUGUCGAGCUAGAGUCCGGAAGAGGCGAGUGGAAUUCCUGGUGCAGCGGUGAAAUGCGCAGAUAUCAGGAGGAACACCAAUGGCGAAGGCAGCUCGCUGGGACGGUACUGACGCUGAGACGCGAAAGCGUGGGGAGCAAACAGG
rnacentral:rRNA from 1 species